rnacentral:rRNA from 1 species
CAGCAGCCGCGGUAAUACGUAGGGUGCAAGCGUUAAUCGGAAUUACUGGGCGUAAAGCGUGCGCAGGCGGUUAUAUAAGUCAGAUGUGAAAUCCCCGGGCUCAACCUGGGAACUGCAUUUGAGACUGUAUGGCUAGAGUGUGUCAGAGGGGGGUAGAAUUCCACGUGUAGCAGUGAAAUGCGUAGAGAUGUGGAGGAACACCGAUGGCGAAGGCAGCCCCCUGGGCCAAUACUGACGCUCAUGCACGAAAGCGUGGGGAGCAAACAGGAUUAGAUACCCGGGUAGUCCCUGUCUCUUAUAC